UUCUGGUUGAUCUGCCGGACCUGACUGCUAUCGGAUUGAUACUAAGCCAUGCGAGUCUUUGUAGUAAUACAAGGCAUACGGCUCAGUAACACGUAGUCAACCUACCCUAUGGAUGAGAAUAAUCUCGGGAAACUGAGCAUAAUUCUUGAUAGAUCAUAAUGCCUGGAAUGGUUUAUGGUUAAAAUGAUUCGUCGCCAUAGGAUGGGACUGCGGCCUAUCAGCUUGUUGGUGAGGUAAUGGCCCACCAAGGCGAUUACAGGUACGGGCUCUGAGAGGAGAAGCCCGGAGAUGGGUACUGAGACACGGACCCAGGCCCUAUGGGGCGCAGCAGGCGAGAAAACUUUGCAAUGUGCGAAAGCACGACAAGGUUAAUCCGAGUGAUUUCUGCUAAAGAAAUCUUUUACCAGUCGUAAAACCGCUGGUGAAUAAGGGGUGGGCAAGUUCUGGUGUCAGCCGCCGCGGUAAAACCAGCACCUCAAGUGGUCAGGAUGAUUAUUGGGCCUAAAGCAUCCGUAGCCUGCUUUGUAAGUUUUCGGUUAAAUCCAUGUGCUCAACGCAUGGGCUGCCGAAAAUACUGCAUAGCUAGGGAGUGGAAGAGGUAGACGGUACUCAGUAGGUAGGGGUAAAAUCCUUUGAUCUAUUGAUGACCACCUGUGGCGAAGGCGGUCUACCAGAACACGUUCGACGGUGAGGGAUGAAAGCUGGGGGAGCAAACCGGAUUAGAUACCCGGGUAGUCCCAGCUGUAAACGAUGCAGACUAGAUGAUGCAUUGGCAUAAUAGCCAUUGCAGUGUCUCAGGGAAGCCGUUAAGUCUGCCGCCUGGGAAGUACGUACGCAAGUAUGAAACUUAAAGGAAUUGGCGGGGGAGCACCACAAGGGGUGAAGCCUGCGGUUCAAUUGGACUCAACGCCGGGA
rnacentral:rRNA from 1 species